rnacentral:rRNA from 1 species
GUAAGUUCCGACCUGCACGAAUGGCGUAACGACUUCCCCGCUGUCUCCAGCAUAGACUCAGCGAAAUUGAAUUCUCCGUGAAGAUGCGGAGUUCCCGCGGUCAGACGGAAAGACCCCGUGCACCUUUACUACAGCUUGACAGUGGUAUUGGCGAUUAUUUGUGUAGGAUAGGCGGGAGUCUAUGAAGCCAGGGCGCCAGUUCUGGUGGAGACAUCCUUGAAAUACCGCCCUGAUGAUUGUUAAUAUCUAACCGCGGCCCAUGAACCUGGGUCCGGGACCCUGUCUGGUGGGUAGUUUGACUGGG